AGAUGCAGGCCAGCUGUUGCUUGGCAUGAACAACAUAAAUAAGUUAACAGAAGACGAAAUUACUGCUACAUUUAUUCUAAAUGCUAACUCGUUAUAUCAUUUAUAGAAUAUGACUUCUAUGUUGGAUUGGUUAAUGCUGAGUUUGGUAUUGCAGUCCCAGCUUCAGUGGACGAGGGUUCAUGCCGCGCAGCAGCAGCAGUGUCCAAACUGGGUUAUUCCAGAUGCUGCCCCUCGUGUGGGAAGUGGCCAGAUCCCAUGUUGCUUCGCGCAUAACAGCUCGUCCUUUAUUCGGAGUGGAACGGACACGGAAUAAUUCAGUGACAGAGUAUCGAUGUGAUGACACCCUUUUAACGAUGUUGGUCAGGGAACCUGUGAUGAUGUGGUGCAAAAAAUGCUACCGGCAUCACUUUCGUUCCGCUAUUACACUUGACCCGAGCUAGGACCGCGACGGCGCUGACGAACUUGCGGCAGCGGGGAUGAUGCGAAUCCCUCCUUCGAAAUUGCGGUGCUGAGAUGAUGAUAAAGUAGAAGCUUGUGUGGCAUGGUCUCGUCCUUACUAAAACACUGCUUAAGCUACACCCAAGGUGACAUGAAUCAUCGACCCCCACAGGAAUAAGGCUGCAGCCAGAACGGAAUGAACAUUUGUUUUCUUUGAACUGAAACGGCAACAGUGGCAGCAUAGACGAUCGUCUCGAACACGACGACUGCAACGAACCGACAUGGAACCGCGGCCAAUAACUUAAAUAACCACUAUGCAUAAGCACAAAUAUACUUAUGGUUUAUUUCCUAAUUAUA